rnacentral:tRNA from 1 species
GGGCCCAUAGCUCAAUCGGUCAGAGCCCCCGUCUCAUAAACGGGUACGUGUCGGUUCGAGCCCGACUGGGCCCA